GAUCAUGGCUCAGGAUGAACGCUAGCUACAGGCUUAACACAUGCAAGUCGAGGGGAAACGACAUUGGAAGCUUGCUUCCGAUGGGCGUCGACCGGCGCACGGGUGAGUAACGCGUAUCCAACCUGCCCACCACUUGGAGAUAACCUUGCGAAAGUAAGACUAAUACCCAAUGACGUCUCUAGAAGACAUCUGAAAGGGAUUAAAGAUUUAUCGGUGAUGGAUGGGGAUGCGUCUGAUUAGCUUGUUGGCGGGGUAACGGCCCACCGAGACGACGAUCAGUAGGGGUUCUGAGAGGAAAGUCCCCCACAUUGGAACUGAGACACGGUCCAAACUCCUACGGGAGGCAGCAGUGAGGAAUAUUGGUCAAUGGGCGAGAGCCUGAACCAGCCAAGUAGCGUGCAGGAUGACGGCCCUAUGGGUUGUAAACUGCUUUUAUAAGGGAAUAAAGUGAGCCUCGUGAGGCUUUUUGCAUGUACCUUAUGAAUAAGGACCGGCUAAUUCCGUG
rnacentral:rRNA from 1 species